CCUACGGGCGGCAGCAGUAAGGAAUAUUGGUCAAUGGGCGCAAGCCUGAACCAGUCAUGCCGCGUGAAGGAUGACGGCCCUAUGGGUUGUAAACUUCUUUUGUACGGGAAAAAACCUCUGGUCGUGAAUCAGAGCUGAUGGUACCGUAAGAAUAAGCAUCGGCUAACUCCGUGCCAGCAGCCGCGGUAAUACGGAGGAUGCGAGCGUUAUCCGGAUUCAGUGGGUUUAGGGGGUGCGCUAACUGAGUAAUGAAAGCCUACAGCUUAACUGUAGAACUGCCAUUGAUACUGUUAUUCUUGAGUGUUGUUGAGGUAGGCGGAAUGUGUCAUGUAGCGGUGAAAUGCUUAGAUAUGACACAGAACACCGAUCGCGAAGGCAGCUUACCAAGCAACAACUGACGCUCAUGCACGAAAGCGUGGGGAUCAAACAGGAUUAGAUACCCCGGUAGUC
rnacentral:rRNA from 1 species